CUCGGGUUACCGAAUUCAGACAAACUCCGAAUGCCAAUUAAUUUAACUUGGGAGUCAGAACAUGGGUGAUAAGGUCCGUGUUCGAAAGGGAAACAGCCCAGACCACCAGCUAAGGUCCCAAAAUAUAUGUUAAGUGGAAAAGGAUGUGGCGUUGCCCAGACAACUAGGAUGUUGGCUUAGAAGCAGCCAUCAUUUAAAGAGUGCGUAAUAGCUCACUAGUCGAGUGACACUGCGCCGAAAAUGUACCGGGGCUAAACAUAUUACCGAAGCUGUGGAUUGUCCUUUGGACAAUGGUAGGAGAGCGUUCUAAGGGCGUUGAAGCAUGAUCGUAAGGACAUGUGGAGCGCUUAGAAGUGAGAAUGCCGGUGUGAGUAGCGAAAGACGGGUGAGAAUCCCGUCCACCGAUUGACUAAGGUUUCCAGAGGAAGGCUC
rnacentral:rRNA from 1 species